AUGGUCUAGAACCACCACUAGUGGGAUCUUCCACAGCCCAGAGGUGCAGAAAUCGUACUGCCAGAGGAGUUGGGGAGAUCAGAAUGGGCAUUCUGUUUCAUGUUGGUAUUGUCAAGUGCUAGCCCGUCUCCAGAUCCAACCUGACACCAGGGUUGUGUUCAUUAGGCACCAAAAUGGAAGAACAUCAACUGAAAUGCGAAGAGAGAGAGAGGAGGAGGAGGAUGAGAGGAAGAGGAGGAGAGCACUGAAGACGUCUGCUUACAACCUGCAUGGACACCCGAGAAGACUUUCCUUCAGAAUUGGAACACCUUUUGUUUCUCCUCUGCUGCCUCUACAGGUACUCAGCCGCCAAUCACCAUCUUCCAGACACUUCAUUAGCCACAAAAGCACCUCUCACACGGGACACGUACUGUACUAGGCACAGGCUAACUACUGUUGUCUCGGAGAAUCAGCUAAGCUCACUGAUUGUAAUUGCAUGUUAGCUGUAGGGCGUGAUUUGCAUGUGAUGACAAAGGGCAGUUCAGGAUGAUGAUGAUUUAUUUAAGGUUUUUAAAAAGCCAUGCCAUGAUGGAAAGAGAACUCUAGCCAAACGUUAAUAACCCACUGAAAGUGUGGUACACCAUCUGUAAUUACAGUCUAAAUCUGUUAAUUGUAAUCAGUAAUGAUAAAGUCAAUAAUAUGUUUCUGUACUUGUUUGACUUUAGCUUGUAUGGUUAUUUAGUCCAUAGUACGGCCAUAAUUAUGUCUCAAUUAUGCAAACCCAUGAAUGAGUGGACUGUUGUGCUUAAUUGCUAUGUUCCCUGGUAUAAGGAAUAGGUCAGUGGUUCCCAAACUUUUUUUUUGUGUCGAGACCCCUUUUGUUAUAGAAGAUUUACCAGGGACCCUCUCAUAAUAUCAGAACACAACUCCUACUGUAUAGUGCAAUAAAAAUAGCACUACACAAGCCCCCGUCCUGGCAUCAGAAGGAACAUUUUGCCGUUUUAAAGCUAAUGUCAGGCAAUUCUAUACAUUUUGCCUUGGGGCAGAGAGAACAUUUUGCAGUUUUAAAGCAAUUGUUUUUGCAAUUCUACACAUUUUGCCAAGGGGAAGGGAUUUUUUGUUGUUGUACAGUUGUAUAGCUUAAAUUACAGUACAGUGGAUUUAUGUUCAAAACAACAAAGUUUGGGGGAAUACAAGAAGAGUUGAGUAGAAUUGAUGGAGUACUGAAGAUACCAAUAUCCCGUUGAGCCUCCCAGGCCCAUGUGCA